AUUGAACGCUGGCGGCAGGCCUAACACAUGCAAGUAGAGCGGAGCGGCGGACGGGUGAGUAAUGCCUAGGAAUCUGCCUGGUAGUGGGGGAUAACGUCCGGAAACGGGCGCUAAUACCGCAUACUAUCAGAUGAGCCUAGGUCGGAUUAGCUAGGUGGUGGGGUAAAGGCCUACCAAGGCGACGAUCCGUAACUGGUCUGAGAGGAUGAUCAGCCACACUGGAUCUGAGACACGGUCCAGACUCCUACGGGUGGCUGCAGUGGCGAAUAUUGGGCAAUGAGCGGAAGCCUGAUCCAGCCAUGCCGCGUGUGUGAAGAAGGUCUUCGAAUUGUAUAGCACUUUAAGUUGAGACUCGUUACCACCAGAAUAAGCACCGGCUAACCACGUGCCAGCAGCCGCGGUAAUUC
rnacentral:rRNA from 1 species